GAUCAUGGCUCAGAUUGAACGCUGGCGGCAUGCCUUACACAUGCAAGUCGAACGGUAACAGGUCUUCGGACGCUGACGAGUGGCGAACGGGUGAGUAAUACAUCGGAACGUGCCCAGUCGUGGGGGAUAACUACUCGAAAGAGUAGCUAAUACCGCAUACGAUCUGAGGAUGAAAGCGGGGGGACCUUCGGGCCGUCGCGCGAUUGGAGCGGCCGGAUGGCAGAUUAGGUAGUUGGUGGGAGUAAAG
rnacentral:rRNA from 1 species